rnacentral:rRNA from 1 species
CCCGGGCCUUGUACACACCGCCCGUCACGUCACGAAAGUCGGUAACACCCGAAGCCCGUGGCCCAACCAGCUUGUCUGGGGGGAGCGGUCGAAGGUGGGACUGGCGAUUGGGACG